rnacentral:rRNA from 1 species
AAACACCGGUUCUCGUCCGAUCACCGAAGUCAAGCAACAUCGGGCGUGGUCAGUACUUGGAUGGGUGACCGCCUGGGAAC